rnacentral:lncRNA from 1 species
AGUGAUGGAGAGAUGCGGGUGGCAAUCUAGGGACUCGAAAAGCUGGUUGAAGACUUUGGUGGUGUUGUUGGUGGCCAGAUCUUCAGUCUUGCCUUUGAGAGCAUCUUGAAACAAUACAAAAAAAUGAAGUCCCCCACCAAGCAGGGCUCUUUGAUGCCUUAGUUAGAUCAUCACAAUAAAAUAGAGGAGGUUCUAUAGAGAAAAAGAUAAAGAGAGAGAGGUAGAGUUUGUGUUUGUAUCAAAGUGUCUAUAAUGAAGAGGGGAGAGAGGGGGGAG